rnacentral:rRNA from 1 species
UGGGGAAUAUUGGGCAAUGGGCGAAAGCCUGACCCAGCAACGCCGCGUGAGGGAAGAAGGGUUUCGGCUCGUAAACCUCUGUCCUAUGGGACGAAAGAGAUGACGGUACCAUAGGAGGAAGCCCCGGCUAACUACGUGCCAGCAGCCGCGGUAAUACGUAGGGGGCGAGCGUUGUCCGGAAUGAUUGGGCGUAAAGGGCGCGUAGGCGGUUUGGUAAGUUAGAAGUGUAAUACCCAGGGUUUAACUCGGGUGCUGCUUCUAAUACUGCCGGACUUGAGUGUAGGAGAGGAUGAUGGAAUUCCCAGUGUAGCGGUGGAAUGCAUAGAUAUUGGGAGGAACACCAGAGGCGAAAGCGAUCAUCUGGACUACAACUGACGCUGAGGCACGAAAGCGUGGGGAGCAAACAGGAUUAGAUACCCUGGUAGU